rnacentral:rRNA from 1 species
UACAGAGGGUGCGAGCGUUAAUCGGAAUUACUGGGCGUAAAGCGUGCGUAGACGGUAGCGUAAGUCAGAUGUGAAAGCCCCGGGCUCAACCUGGGAACUGCAUUUGAGACUGCUCUGCUCGGGUGCGGAAGAGGGAAGCGGAAUUUCCGGUGUAGCGGUGAAAUACGUAGAUAUCGGAAGGAACACCAGUGGCGAAAGCGGCUUCCUGGUCCGACACCGACGUUCAGGCACGAAAGCGUGGGGAGCAAACAGG